GACCUCGGAUCAGGCGUGAAUACCCGCUGAACUUAAGCAUAUCACUAAGCGGAGGGAAAG
rnacentral:rRNA from 1 species